CCUGCUUGUUCUCCUGGCCGGCAAUCGAAGCAGCAGGCAAGCUGCAAAGAGCUCCUUUUCUCCCCGCCUCUCAGCAUAGGCCUCAGUGAAGCCUGAACUGGAGUAGGCUUGAAGGGAGGCCCCAAGCAAGCAAGGAAGGAAGGAGGCAGGUAGGCAGGCAGAGUGGCCCCCACAGCUCUCUGCAGCAGACCCUCUGCCCAGCCCAGCAUUUGCCAGGCUGCCUGCUGUAGAUCUGUUCACAAGACCUCAAAGUGACUACAUUUGAGUACAGUCUGUGGAACACUGGACAUCUGUGGUCUGAAAGCACAUGAUGCAAGAAUCUUGCUGAAGAUAAGCAAGUGGAUAUGGUCACUGUCUGAAUGGAAGACUGCCUAUGCAAGCAAUGCUGAAUUUCACAGAAGAAAAGCAGGAUAUAAAUGUGACUUUAUACAUAGUCUACAUCCCAAUCUGCAGAAGAGGAACCGAUCUGCAGAACCCAUAAAGAGUGAACCUACUCUUACUUACUGGGAAACUUCAAACUAGUUUAGAAUGAUGCUGCCCACCUCUUGACACCUAUUCUGCAACACUGGCUGCUAAUAAGCUUCCAAUUCAAAGAGCUGGCUCUUCUCUUUAAAGAUUCCUUCAUAACCUGGGAUCCUAGAGACUUUGGAGUCAGGCAGCAUAUUAAAUAAAUAACUUGAGAGAAGCAGGCUAUACAUGUUUUACAAAGCAAAAGAAGGAGAAUUUUUUAAGUAUCUUCUUCAUUGAUGUGGACCCAGGCUUUUCCAGAAACGAGGAUUCAGCUUCUAGGAAACCCCUUUGUAGACUGCUGCAGAUCACCAGUCCAGCUCUAGCAGCUUCCCCAUUUCCUGACAGUGAUUUACCUUUCUCUUUUCAGCUUGGCCUUGCCAUAUCAAUCUCUUAAAGGUAACUUUCUUCCUCUUCUGAUGACCUGAGACCAAUCCCUUUUAAAAAAAAUUUGGAUUUGUUCAGAACAAUCUCUUUUUAGUAAUUUGGAUGUUGAGGCUCCCUCAAUGUAAACAUAAGCAUUUCAAAUACACAGAUGCACAUAUCAGUUGAUUCUGCAGCCCAACUGUAACUUAUUUUCUCUGAGAAAUAAACACACUUUAACAGCAGGGCUUCUGAUGCCCCUGACUGCCACACAGGCUACCCAAUAAUCUGCUCCCAGAACUCAGAAGGUAUUUAGGAAUUACUCACACAGCAUGGGAAGCUGCAGACAGAGAAUUAAUGGGAAAGACUGAGGCACAUGCAGAAACACUUCUGCAUAUCUAAACUGCUCUUCAGAUCCCUGUCUAAGCACUUAGGCUACAGAGCUGAAAAGCUGCAAAAUCUUAGCAAACCACAAAAAGAAGCGGAAGAACUAAGAAAUGAAAAGAUCUACUCCACUACAACUUGAAUAGAGCAGCUGUUGACCAGCAUUCCCCAAAGUAACUAAGACAUGUGUUGUUCUCUGGCUGGAGAAAGUUUAUACUGAAAUUUACUGACAGAGCCUUUCUGUUUAAUCUAUAGAGUUUUAGAUCCCCUGUUACUCACUUACAUGGUUUAACAAGUUAGCUUUCCUUACCCUUGACAAAAGACCACCCUUUGCCUGGUGAUAAAUUGUUUUACAAGUCCAACCUCUUGCUCUCCCAUCCACUUGUUCACCAUCUGGAAUUCCAUUAAUAAUUUUUAUCAGUGAACCUCUUCAGACAUAAAGCAGUUACAGUAGGUAUGUAAUUUCAGCAUUCUUGGAUAAUAGAAACAAAUUGUAUUAAUGCCAAAUAAUUAGCACCAUCUGAGCCCAUUAAAAACAGCAAUGAGGAAAAAUGUCAAAAUACUAAACUUGCAAAGCAAUCUCAUCUCUAAACUCAAUUGUACAAAGGACUAUUAUUUAUCAAAUAAAUGUAUCCAAUUUUGAAAUAUUGUCCAAUUGUAAGCAUUUUUACAAUUGACCUACAAGGCAUACUACACAUUCCUUAUCCUAGAUAUCCUUGGAAUCUCAAUCAUAACUCUGCUGAAAAUAUUAAUAUUUAAGGCAAUGGGCCUUGUUAAGCCUGAUAAAUAUGAUUGACCUUGAAUAAUUAUGUUAUCAGAUGUUUAUAUUUUCAACUCAAAAUUCUAGCUCCUUAACAGGUAUUAAGAUGUCAAAAAGCAUUUUAAAAGCAAGUUUAGUUUAAGAUAUUAAAGAAACCAAUUCUACAGUUGAGUCAUAUGUAUUCAACAUUAAGUUAAUAAGCAAAACAACGAAGUUGCUGUUUUAUGGAUAAGAUCCUCCUCUCUGUCCUCUUGCUGUAUAGCAAGAGCAUGCUCUUUUUAGUAGAGUAUGAAACAUCUCACAGCAGAUGUGGCAAUGAAACAACACUUCUAAUACACUAUGGCAAAAAUAUUGAGCAUAUUAAAAGGAGCCGGAGGCAGCUAUAAACAGAGUAAAAGCCAAGAAUUCAAGUUCUUAUCUUUCUGCCAAUCAGGAGGUGAGUUUAAAAUUACAUUUGUGACUAAUGCUAACUACAGCACUAGUUUAGGAUAUUAAUGGAAAACCACAGAGUAACUAGGGCCGCAAUCAUUUGCAAGCCAGCCUUUUUGCAGUCCUCUAGAUGUGAAUAAUCCACCCAGACUUGUGAGCUAGCCAGAGAGCAACAGGACUUGUCACGUCUGCUAACAUGAAGAAGUGUAAAUCCUUUAAUAUCUGAUGACAAAACCAAACUACACUUUUCCACUCAGUUACACCAAUGUCUUUCCACGCACACCACACCUGGAAAGUAGCUGAAGCGGCCUGUCAUACCAAUUUAGCAAAAGACUUUGGCAUGUGUCUAUCUUGGAAACCACCGGGACCAUUCACAUGCUUCAAGUCAAGUUAUCGUGCUUCAAAAGCUUGAAAAUAGUGUGUCGUAAGGAACAUGCUCAGUUUAUACUGUUCAUUUGUUUCCCCGUGCAACAAUAUAGAGCUAAGUGAUCCAUAGUUAGUUGAACAGCAGAGCUAAAGGGGAAAAUGACAAGCUGACUUGCUUUCAUAACUGACACAGCACCUGCAGAACUAAACAAUUAACAUAGAGCUAGAUGGUCUUCUAUCCCUUGUUGCACUCAACAGCUUGAAGGGUCAUUUUCGAUCAGAUAUGCCAUUUUCAAUCAGAUAUUACUAUCUUUGUCAUAGGUGACGGCAACUAUCAAACCAUUUUACUAUAAACAUCUUUAAUAAAGCAAAAUUAUAGAUUUAACAAAAGGAAAGCACAUAUCUCAACAAUAUAAACUAUACAACAGCAAAAUGUUCCUAAGUGACAAUCAGUAUCACCUUAAGAUUACUCUGCUAUUGCCAGGUGACUUCAUCUCUAAUGUCAGGCCUCAACAAAUUUUCUUUGGCUCUAGGAGCCAGCCCAAAGAUGUAGGAGUCAGACUGCCUUCUGUUCCAUUACAGGGGGUAGGGGUGCACUUGCUGCCAGCAGUGCCCUCCACGCCACAGAGGGGGGGAGAACUCCUGACCUGCUGGCUCAGUUUCCUCCUGGUCCCAUUGGUCUAUCCCCUGGCUCAGGCACAUUACAAUUUUCAGGUGCUACAACGAUCUGGCACCUGGGAAUUGUCAAGCCCUCUCUUACGUUUUCCAUGUAGUAUAACUAGAACAUAUAGUGCUGGUUUCCGAUUAAAACGUGUAUCGUUCAUAGUUGCAAAAUUCACUGUUUGAAGCUAUCAUCAGGUAUAAUAAGCCAUUGCAAAUCAUUGCCUCACAUCACUUCAUGGGAAUUCUGUAAAAUUCUAUUUAUUUAUAUACAGGUCACCUUCAUUAUCCAAGGUUUCACGGAUUGCGAUUUCAUGUAUCCAUGGAUGGGUCUUAGAGACCCAGUUUCUUUAUCUGAGGCAUGGAAAAUAGAUGAUUUUCACGUAUCUGCUGUUCCUGAGUGGCCGAAAAUAACUUCCAAUGUUAUUUCUGGCCACCAUUUUGUGGUUCUUUUUUGUUUAAAAAAGAUUUUAAUUGAAAAAAAUAAAUUUAUCCCCUUUGGGAGAUGGGGGGGGCAUUCUUGGAGGCCUGGAUAACAAGGUGCUAUGCUUUUCUAUCCUUAUUUCUACCCCUCCCUGCUUUUUUAGUGGUGUUUUUUUUAAGCUCAAGGAACUUAACCCUCCAAUCCCCAUAAACUCAAGGUCUUGUUACCUGCAGUUUUGUUAAUUGUGGGAAUUGGUGGGAAAGGAACCCCUGAGAAUAAAGAGGGCCACCUGUGUCUUCCUUCAUCCUAAAACCAAUUCAUCUAAAAUAAGAGCUAAACAGCAACAUUAAAUAAAGCAGUGAUUUGAUAGCUGAUGCACUCCACUAAAUGCCAGAAUUCAUUUUCUCAGUUCUGUGGAGCUCUAUAGACAGAAUCCAGAGACACCACUUGCAUGAGUAGAAGGCAUAUCUGCUCAUGCAAGGAAAGAUUCCAAUUUCUGCUAAUUCCUUCUUGGAGUACCAUAUCUCAUGCCAUUCCAGAGGGCCUUGCACCAACUCAGAGGAACAGCUUUUCAUGGAGCAGGACUACAAAAGGGAGGAGGCAGGGAUAUCCCAUUGCACUCAUGGUACUCUGGAGCCCACCUAAUAGAAAAAUGGCGCAAAAUAUAUUACACAUACACAAACACACACCAAUUGUCUGCUUUAUGCUGGAAUAUCUGCCCUUUCAGAAGUCAUCUGUUAUAAUACCACCCUUACAUAUCUUCUAAAUAUACUUUUGGGAACAUUCUACCACAACCUUGAAGACAGACCACAACUGGGUUUUUUUUUUUUACUAAGUGUAGAAGCAUGCAUCAUUAAAAAUAUGACUCUUCAGGAGACAGAAUUAAGAAAACAUUUAUUGUGUUUGGCAAUGAUGAACUGUUGUUUUUCAGAAACAAGCAUGGCCCUCUAGCAACAGCUCAAGCUAUCACAAGAAAUUUUCUUAAAAAAAAAAAAACACCACUGGGUAGCAUCCAAAUUCUUAGCACAGGAGCAUUCAAUCAAUGAAUGCUAGUUCCUUCUAUUAUUGGAGGAAGUGUUGCACUUCACAAGAACCUCUUCCACUUGUGCAGGAAUUACUUGUGCGAGUGCAACACUCCUUCUGUGAACAGGAGGGGUUUCUACCAACGGUCUGCUAAAAGUCUGAAUGCUAUAGCCUAGUGAGUCUGUAGCCUAGAAGACUGCGCCCUGGUUCAAACACUGGCCAGCUCAUCUUUUCCUGGUCAGUUUUCCCAUGGUAAUGGAGUGACUAUACAAUCCUCUCCAGUGGUCCCUCUAAUACUUUUCAUCUCUGUGUGGAAUGAGUUUUGUUCUGGGCGGCAUCAUCAAAGGAGUGUGAGUGCACCUGCAUUCAGAGAGGGGCCUUCCUGAUUCAACCUGAGCAGGAUCUAAAAUGAACUGAGUGAACAUCCAAAAACUUGUGAGAGUGUGAACGCCUUACAAGGAACAGUGAUCCUCUCCCACAUCACAUAGCUAAGCUCAAGCAUGAUGUGCAAGCUACAAACUUAUUCCCCACUGGUGGAGAAGAAUUCAAACACUGGCUUGGAUCCAAAGAACCACAGGCAGAAUUCUGCUGACCAAACAUGACUUCCCAACUCCCCUUCCUACUGCAUCCUCUUCGACCCCUUGAAAAGCACUGCCAAGCGUUUGUGGUGCUCAAAAAGGCAUACAAUCCAGUAAAGAGGAAGUCAGCCUGCAUAGAAGAGAGACAUCCCUUUGUACAAUCACAUUCCAUUCGCCAAAAACCCUGUCCAAUAAUUCUGUAACCAUGUACAUAUGGUUAAAAACGCACCCCACAAUCAUUCAUUCAUUCAUUCAGUUUCAUUCAUUCGAUUUCUACAUCACCCUUCCAAAAAUGGCUCAUGGUGGUUUACACAGAGAAAUAUAAAUGAAUAAGAUGGCUCCCUGUCCCCAAAGGGCUCACAGUCUAAAAAGAAACAUAAGAUAGACACCAGCAACAAUCAAUGCUAUAUCAAAUAAGCCUGGCCCCACAAUCACCACUAAGCCACCUAAUAGCGCAGCAGGGAAAUUACUUGCCUAGGGAGCAAGAAGUUGCCAGUUUGAAUCCCUGCUGGUAUGUUUCCCAGACUAUGGGAAACAUCUAUAUCGGGCAGCAGCGAUAUAGGAAGAUGCUGAAAGGCAUCAUCUCAUACUGCGCAGGAGACGGCAAUGGUAAACCUCUCCUGUAUUCUACCAAAGAAAACCACAUGGCUCUGUGGUUACCAGGAGUCAACACUAACUCAAUGGCACAACUUUACUUGACCUUACAAUCAUCACUAGGUUUUUAUUUGGAGAGAGAAAUGCUGUACUAGAGAUGAGAUUCUCCCUGUGAUUCAGAAUGCUUAUGUUGUUUAUAAGCACAUACGCUGAUGGAAAAUAUUGUGAGGUAGUAAUGCUUAGGAUUUAUAUCUCAAAUUUUCAAAACACUUCACAUACAAAAAUCUCAGCAUCUUUAUUAGAGAUGUGCAUGAACUUCAGUUCGUGCACAGGUUCAGCAUCAGAACACACAUGGCGUCUGCAUCCAAGAAACACAUGCAUGGACGCCAUGUGCAUACUGGUGCUUUGCAUGGUUUCUUGGGCAGAAGAGCCAUUGCAGCAGGAAGCUGUCUGCAGUAGCAGCGGACAGUAUGUUUCCCAGCCUAUGGGAAACAUCUAUAUCAGGCAGCAGCGAUAUAGAAAGAUAUUACCUGCGGUAGCAGCAGGUAAGGACCUGCUCUCCUCCUUUUUAAAAGAUCUCACUCACUGCUCUCCUUCUCGCAGCAUCAAACUGGUUUGGACCUUGUCCAAAAUGGUUUUGCAUCGAAUCUGUAAUCUUUAUAACCGUCAUGUAUUACAUAUAGGCAAGCAACUGAGGCUGACAGAACAGUGAUUUGUCCAGUCCACCUCUGCUGAGGUGACAUCUCAACCAGGGACACUGGAUAAUGUCCCACACUCAGAGCCACAACACUACUUUUAAAGUAAUUUUACCAAUGAAAUUUGUAGACUGAACAAAAAAUACAAGCAAUAUCAUUUGUUGAAUAUUCAUUAAUAUUAGCUUAAUAUUAAGAUCUCCCCCAUCUUUGGAAUGCCCUCCCAGAGAGGCUUCACCAAUCUCCCUCCCUGAUGUGUUUUAAAAGGAGCUUGAAACCCCUCCUCAGAGUUUUUAAUCUCAUUUUAAUUGGUUUAAUAUUUUAGUAUUUGCACUCAUGGUACUCUGGAGCCCAUGUAAGCUUAUUGUAAGCUUCAAGCAGCAUUGUACUGAAGAAGUGGGGUAGAAAUUUUUAAAAUAAAUUGUUCAAACUGAAAUAUAUGGUGUUGAAUUAAAUUAGCAUUUUGAAAUUAACAAUACUGCUCAGUAAGUCUCCAUGCUUAGUUUACUAUAGCUUUAUUUCCCUGAAUUGUUCAGUACUAUACAUUGUGGACAACAAAAUAAAUAUCUCACAUCACACUUGAUUUUUCGUCUCUGAUUGCUUUUAAACAGACUCUUAAGACACACCUGUUUUCUCAGGCUUUUAAUUAAAACUAAUUUUAAACUGUUUAAUUGUUUUACUCCGUGAAAUUGUUUUACAGAUUUUAUUCUGUGGAUUGAUUUUAUUCUGUGGAUUGUUUUUAUUCUGUGAAACUUUCUUUUAACUGUAACUUGGAUUAUGUACGCUGCCUUGAGAGAGAGAUCAGGUUGUAUAUAAAGAUGAUAUGUUGAUAAUAGAGUAGAGUAGAGUAGAGUAGAUCCCCAUCUCAGUAACAAAUGUGCACAAGGAAACAGAAUACUGUGUCACAUUAAUGGACAAAUUCUUGCUAUCAAACUGUGCAAAACAAUGUGUAGUUUUAAACAAAACACAGUCCAAACUAAAAAUAAAUCCUGAGGAAAGUGUAUUUCUAUUCUACACAAUUUAAAUAUUGUUCUCCCCCCGCCCCUUGUUCCAACUUUUGUGGCUACUGUGGAGUCAAAGAAUGUCAGUUUUUUUAAAAAGCCUUCUAAUAGGUCAUGACCUAAGUCCCUGAAGUCAACAGGAAUUUGAAUGAAUACUGUUACCAGAGAAUGCUGAAGAUUAAUUUCCCUCUGCUGAAUUCCCCGAUGUUGGUUUUAAGAAAGAUUCCAAGUACAGAAGUCAAUUCUGUAGUUUAAUUUCUGAUUCAAGCCUGCACCAAGAUAUUCUAAAAUUUGUUCAUAAAGAAAGGCAAAAACACGCAAGAGUAUAAAAAUAGUAGAGGCUUAUUUAUAAAGUUAUUAUCUAUCACAUAAUUUGUUGAUAGAUAAUAAUCAGGCUACUGGUAUGAGUUUAUAUUUUUAAACAAUUGUAAAGCUAGAUGUCUCAUUUUAUUGUACAGUACUUCAUUAUCUGUACUUUCCGUGUCUCCAUGCCUUGUAAAAGCGAUUAGAAUUUCUGCUGAGUAGACAAAAAUGAACUUUUAAACCCCAUUGCCAGUUAGAUUCUAAGAUUAAAGUUGCAGUUGUAUGAACACUUACUUCCGUAUCACUGCAAGUUUCAGUGCUAUGCCAUGGAAAGGUAUGAAUGGGCCAAGACCCAGGAUACUACUGUGAACAGAACACUGGACUAGGAUCAGAAAAUCAGGGUUCAAAUCUACUCAACUCACUGGUGACAGUGGGCCAAUCAAUCUCAGCCUCAUCAUCAUCCCACAGAGUAGUUGUGAAGUUAAAAUGGAUGGUGGGGGGCAUGAUAAUAAGAACUAUGUAUGUCUCCUUGAGCUUCUUUGGAGAAGGAGCAGAAUAACAUUAAAAAAUAAAAAUGCAAAGAACUGGAGAACAGUAGAAAAACACAUCACCACACGUAUUGAACUGAAACAGGAAAAGACAGUUGUACCAUUAUCCUUUUUAAAAUAUAUGUUUGAUUUUGCAUUUUUUCAGAGAAGAAAAAUCUAUAUUAUGUUUUAGGUUUCUGAAGCUACAGACAAGAACUAGGUCUUAUGUAAAUUUAAUUUAGGAUAC